ACCUCGGUGGCUCAGUAGGUUGAGCACCUGACUUUGGCUCAGGUCAUGAUCUCGAGGUU
rnacentral:tRNA from 1 species